rnacentral:rRNA from 1 species
UACGUAGGGUCCAAGCGUUGUCCGGAUUUAUUGGGCGUAAAGAGCUCGUAGGCGGCUUAGUAAGUCGGAUGUGAAAACUCGGGGCUCAACCCCGAGACGCCAUCCGAUACUGCUGUGGCUUGAGUCUGGUAGGGGAACACGGAAUUCCUGGUGUAGCGGUGAAAUGCGCAGAUAUCAGGAGGAACACCGAUGGCGAAGGCAGCCCCCUGGGUUACACUGACGCUCAUGCACGAAAGCGUGGGGAGCAAACGA